GAACUUUUGUCCCCUCAGAGAAAUGAUCUGUCACUGUAUGACAUCCUCAGCAGCCAAACAAUGUAUCCCUCAGCCAAACAAUAUACAGAGAUUUUAAGCCUGUUCAUACGCAGAUGUCCCUUCAUGCGGGAGAAAAUUGGUUCAGGACAUGAUGAUUUACGAUCUGGAAAGAAGCGCCAUACUCUGGGUCAACCAAGCCAGCUUUUCUACAUAACCAGGCCCGCUGCUCAGGAAGAUGGAGACUUUGGAGAGGA